AAACCAUUCUAACUUCUAACUUAACAACUCUGUACAAUACAACCAUUCUAAAAAAAAUGAGCUAAAAGAUUGACAUAAUAUAUGAUACAAAAAUUGUCAUUCACCUUCUAAACUUCAUCAAUCCAAAAUUAAAAUAGAACUAUGAUUUGAACAAACAAAGAGAACUAAUUGGCAUCUCUCCAAAGCAUUUUCAACAUUUUCAUUUACCAGCCCAAUGUCAAAUGUAAUGCAGCAGGCACAGUACUCUCAAUAUCCAUUCUACUUGCAACACUAAAUAAUACUCUAUAACCUUCGUAUAUAGUGAUAAAAUACUGGUCAUUGAAUAAACAAAAUUCAGCAGGCAUGCUCAAUUGAAAAUGAACAACAAGUAAUCCACUCAGUUGAAGAUGAACAUCAACACAAACCCAGAAUUUAAGACAAGAAUUGUUCUUUAUACAACAACAAUAAACCCAGAAUUUUAAUACAGGAACAUUCGAAGAGUGUAAAAUCUAUGAAUUUAUAACAGUAUCCAUGGCCACAAAAUGAAAUAGCAAUGAUGGCCCAAGUCUAAUUUUGCAUAAAAUUAAACAUUCCAACAAUUACCGUAAACAUUGUAGAAUUGAUUCCGCGGAAAUGGACCAUCAACAGGAGGUCGUUGCUUGCUGGAUUUUGAACAUCGAAACAAUCGAGGAUUUCCCAAGUCUAUCCAUUACUUUGGUGUUGACUCGCAUACUUCCGCUUCGCUUUCCGCCUUUUAAUCCUUUUGGUACUGAAACUGGCGGAGCAAUUGUUCUGCAAAAAUAGAAAUUAAACUUGCAAACAGAUUAAAUAUUAAACCACAGCCAACACCGAUAAUUUGUGAAAGGUUAGUUGCGAGUCCAUUGAUUAGAACGGAGACAGUGGCGGUGGUUGACGAAGAAGCCGUGAGAUGGACGUCACAGGUGAAGGUUGAAGGUGAGUUCUGGGCUUGGUAGCGGAAGUGGAAUCGGUGUAAGCGUCGCGGUUUUGAAGGUGUUAGGUGUUGCGAUUUGGGUUUAAAGGUGUUGGAAAAGGAUCGCGGAGGAGAGCGGUGGAGGGUUUCGUGUGAGGUUCCGUCAAAGGUAGAGAACGAUGGUGGAGAUGGGAAGAGGAAAAUGAAGGUUAAGCGGCGGUGGCGGCUUCACGGAAGAUGAAGGGCGAUUGAAGCGAUUUGGUGGCCGGUGAUGGAAGGAUUUAUGGAUUGUGACGGCAAUGGUGAUUUGGGUCGGUAGCGUGAGCUUGAGCGGAAGGUUUCGCCGGUGACGAAAAGGCGGAUGAAGGAAUUUCGGCUUGGGUUUUGUGGAUUUGAGAAUGAGAUGUGAAGGUGAGGGAGAGUGACUUGUGUGGAAGGGUUUUGUUUGAUGGUUUUUUGUGAGAGAGAUGAGUGAAUCCGAGAGUGAGGUUUUCUGUGUGAGAGUUGAGAGAGUGAAUGGAGUGUGAGCGUGAGAUGUGAGCGAGAGAAUAUCUUUUAUUACCUUUAUUUUUUGUCGUUUAUGUCGGUACGAGAGAGAGGAAUGGGGUCAGGUUGUUAGUAGUGGAGAGUGUUUUUGUAGUGCAGAGAGACGUUGGGAUAGUGAGAUUCUUAUCAUUUAUUUUUUGUUUUUUAAAAGAGAUAAGAGAAUCCAAUGCUAAUAAUAUAUACAUUAUUAAAUAACAAAUUAUUAAAGCAAAGCUAAUUAAUAUUUAAAAAAACCUAAAUAAUAUUUUAAAUAAACUAACUAUUAUUUAACUAAUGUUUUAAAACAAACUAAUAUUUACUUAAAUAAACUAAUAUCUACUUAAAAUAGCUAAUACUUAAAACAACUAAUUUAAUAUUUUUAAAAAAACUAUUCUAAUUUUUUUAAUAAAAUACCAACAAAAUAUUUGACCAGUUAUAAAAAUAAAGAAAAAACCGAGUACAAAUUUUAAUCGAAAAAAUUAAACCAGUCACACUAAAAUUGUCAGCAAAGAAACCAACUUAUUAAAAAUACAGUCUUUCCUUCGAUUCAACCGAUUUUUCUGUAUUCUCAAAUAAAUUCAUCCUGACCGACAUUUCAGGUAUUAUUCAUGAUGCAAAUGUAUGUCAUGUUAUGCAUAUGAUGUUAUAAUAAAAAUGAAAUCGAUUCUAUGAUAAUUUAAAUAUGCCCGGACAAAAUUGGGGUACGACANAGUCCAUUGAUUAGAACGGAGACAGUGGCGGUGGUUGACGAAGAAGCCGUGAGAUGGCCGUCACAGGUGAAGGUUGAAGGUGAGUUCUGGGCUUGGUAGCGGAAGUGGAAUCGGUGUAAGCGUCGCGGUUUUGAAGGUGUUAGGUGUUGCGAUUUGGGUUUAAAGGUGUUGGAAAAGGAUCGCGGAGGAGAGCGGUGGAGGGUUUCGUGUGAGGUUCCGUCAAAGGUAGAGAACGAUGGUGGAGAUGGGAAGAGGAAAAUGAAGGUUAAGCGGCGGUGGCGGCUUCACGGAAGAUGAAGGGCGAUUGAAGCGAUUUGGUGGCCGGUGAUGGAAGGAUUUAUGGAUUGUGACGGCAAUGGUGAUUUGGGUCGGUAGCGUGAGCUUGAGCGGAAGGUUUCGCCGGUGACGAAAAGGCGGAUGAAGGAAUUUCGGCUUGGGUUUUGUGGAUUUGAGAAUGAGAUGUGAAGGUGAGGGAGAGUGACUUGUGUGGAAGGGUUUUGUUUGAUGGUUUUUUG
rnacentral:lncRNA from 1 species